rnacentral:rRNA from 1 species
AUUGAACGCUGGCGGCAGGCCUAACACAUGCAAGUCGAACGAGUGGCGGACGGGUGAGUAAUGUCUGGGAAACUGCCUGAUGGAGGGGGAUAACUACUGGAAACGGUAGCUAAUACCGCAUACCAUCGGAUGUGCCCAGCUGGGAUUAGCUAGUGGGUGGGGUAAAGGCUCACCUAGGCGACGAUCCCUAGCUGGUCUGAGAGGAUGACCAGCCACACUGGAACUGAGACACGGUCCAGACUCCUACGGGAGGAAGCAGUGGGGAAGUUUGGACAAUGGGGGAAAGCCUGAUGCAGCCAUGCCGCGUGUAUGAAGAAGGCCUUCGGGUUGUAAAGUACUUUCAGCGGGGAGGCGUUACCCGCAGAAUAAGCACCGGCUAACUCCGUGCCAGCAGCCGCGGUAAUAC